rnacentral:misc_RNA from 1 species
GGAAGGAUCAUUGAAUCGAUCGAAUACACACCGUGAACCAUGCGUCUCCCUGUCGUGCCUCUCUCGAGAGGCGUGGCAGCGCCAUGCGGCUUUUACCGGCUGUGUGGCGGGUUGGAGGGGUUUCCCCCUUUCAGCCGGCCUCUUUUUCAAAACACCCCACACACAUUUAUUCUUCUGAAGCACCCUUGUUUGAAGGCUUCGGCCUCCUUACAAACCAAUCAAAAACAACUCUCAACAACGGAUAUCUUGGCUCCCGUAUCGAUGAAGAACGCAGCGAAAUGCGAUACGUAGUGUGAAUUGCAGAAUUCCGUGAACCAUCGAAUCUUUGAACGCAAAUUGCGCCCAAGGCUCCGGCCGAGGGCAUGUCUGCCUCAGCGUCGGCACACCCCCUCGUUUCUUACCUCGGUGGGAGACGGACCUGGCUUUCUCGGCUUGGCUUCUUUUUCGGAAGAGCUGUGCCGGGUUUGCUGAAGCGAAGAGGCUUGAGCAGCGACCCCGAUUGCAGGGCGACGGCUUGGUAGGUAGGUCUUCCUACACAUCCACCGCCGCCGCCCGAGGGGCUCCUGCUGGGAGCCAUACUGGCUGGGGGUGCGUUCUCCUCGGAGGCGUGCCCCCCCACUCUUUCAUUUCGACCUGAGCUCAGGCAAGGCUACCCGCUGAACUUAAGCAUAUCAAUAAGCGGAGGAAAAGAAACUAACCAGGAUUCCCCUAGUAACGGCGAGCGAACCGGGAAAAGCCCAACGUGAAAAUCUCCAGCCCUCGGCUGGCGAAUUGUAGUCUAGAGAAGCGCUCUCUGUGCCGGCCCGUGCCCAAGUCCCCUGGAAAGGGGCGUCUGAGAGGGUGAGAACCCCGUGGGGCAUGGCGUCCGGUACCUCACGAGACGCUUUCGCAGAGUCGGGUUGCUUGGGAAUGCAGCCCAAAGUAGGUGGUAAAUCCCAUCUAAGGCUAAAUACUGACGGGAGACCGAUAGCGAACAAGUACCGCGAGGGAAAGAUGAAAAGAACUUUGAAAAGAGAGUUAAAAAGUGCUUGAAAUUGUUGAGAGGGAAGAGAUUGAACGUCGCGGGUGCGCCCAGGCACACGCCUGCCUCACGGUUGGCUGAAUGUUCUGGGUGCUGGUCAGCAUGGGUUGGCGUGGCGGGACAACCCCGGGGCUUGUUCCCCCGGUUCUGCCGCCGCGCCGAUCGAGGCUUGUAGGGCGCUCUUUGAGUCCUUCGGGAACUGCGUCCUCAGGAUGCUGGCGGAAGGCGUUUAAUCUGCCCGUCUUGAAACACGGACCAAGGAGUCUAACGUGUAUGCGAGCUGGUGGGUGGCAAACCCAUGAAGCGCAAGGAACCUGACUGGUGCGAUGGCCUGAGCCUGCAGCAUCGACCUCUCUUGAGCUUCUGCGAAGGAUGAGAGUACGAGUAUACACGCUGGGACCCGAAAGAUGGUGAACUAUGCCUGAGCAGGGCGAAGCCAGAGGAAACUCUGGUGGAGGCUCGUAGAUGUGCUGACGUGCAAAUCGCUUUUCGGACUUGGGUAUAGGGGCGAAAGACUAAUCGAACCAUCUAGUAGCUGGUUCCCUC